UACGUAGGGUGCAAGCGUUGUCCGGAAUUAUUGGGCGUAAAGAGCUCGUAGGCGGUCUGUCGCGUCUGCUGUGAAAACUCAGGGCUUAACCCUGAGCUUGCAGUGGCUACGGGCAGACUAGAGUGCGGUAGGGGAGACUGGAAUUCCUGGUGUAGCGGUGAAAUGCGCAGAUAUCAGGAGGAACACCGGUGGCGAAGGCGGGUCUCUGGGCCGUAACUGACGCUGAGGAGCGAAAGCAUGGGGAGCGAACAGG
rnacentral:rRNA from 1 species